UUAUGACGUCUGGCUAGGCUAUUUUAUUUUUUUUCUGUGAUGUCUUCCUACGAAGUUCGUAGGAAGGCGUCCCAGAAAAAAAUUAACAUAGCCUUGCGGUCAUAGAAAGGUGUCCCAGAAUAAAAUUAAAAAAGCCUUGCCAGACGUAAUAAUUAUUUUGACUACUCAUAUAUAUAUCAUUAAAAAUACACCAAAAAAGUCAUUAAGUUGAGAAAAAAAUAUAUAUACAAAAUGUACAUGAACACCCAAAAAUGUGAAAGUUAGUAUUUAACUCUUUUUGCUUAAAUACUGAAAAAAAUUCUGGCAACCCCUUACUUAUUUUUACUCUUUUUGCUUAAAAUACUGUUAAAAUUUAUAUUUAACAUGGGUGACGAAUUGACUAUAUCAGGUGCUGAUUUGUCCAGGUGCCAAUUUAACCAGGUGCCGGUUUGACUAGAAUUCUUUGACAAAUGUUUGAAAUUACCUGAGUUUCAUUAGACCUUUGAUAACAGUAACAAAAAGAUUAUUUACUUAAUAUUUUGUGGGAGAAGGGGGUUCAGACUAUGUGGUAUCAGGUCUGUUCGCGCCCAAUACACUUUCGCACCCUACAUGUUCGCACCUCGCACGUUCGCACCCAAGGUCCGUUUGCACUCUACUCAUUCGCGCCCAAUUUUAAUUCAAAUUCAAGUUGAAUAAUUGGAAAAUCAUGAUUGUUGUUUUAAAUUGCUUUGGUGUAAAUACUGAAUGUAUUUAUAGCUUGGUAUGAGUAAAACAUUGAAGAUUUUAAAGGAAAAACACAAAAGAUAAUUGUUUUUAACAGCUUGGUCCCUUUGAUCUGAAACAACGAAACAAUAAAAUAUAGGAACCAAAAUAUAGCAAUCCACUAUUAUAACCAAAACAUGAUAAAAUCUAUUCAACACACAGAAAAAAAACAUAGUCAGAAUCUCACUUCAUUUUGAAAGAAGUCAAUGAAACAAAGUUAUAGCAAUACACUAACCAAAACAUGAUUAAGAGUUAUUCAACACAAAAUAAAACGUUGACAAAAUACCACUUUAUUUAGAAAGGAUUAUUAUAAUUUUUAACAAUACGCUAUCUAAAACAUGAUUAAGAUUUAUUCAACACAAAAAAAAAUGCUGUCUCACUUUAUUUUGAGACAAUGACAACAAUUAUACUUAUAAGAAAACACUUGCUUACAGAGUUAUUAAACACAAAACCAAUUAAGAUUGGGUGCGAACAUGUAGGGUGUGAAAGUGAAAGGGGCGAACAUGAGUGGGCGCGAACGGACCCGGAUUCAGACUAUGUACCAGUGAGAAAUAUACAAGCCUUUCUACGGUAUUUAUUUGUACAAUUCAGGUAGUCUUGACCUAUUCAUUUGUCUUAAAAAACAGCCAGUUGUCACCUUCACUUCACACACACACACAUAUACGAAUAUCAAUUAUAUGCUUACGAGACAUGUUGCAUUGUUAAACUAAUUACGGUAUGUGAAAAUCAAGACUUGCAUAAAAACUAUCCCAAUAUUAGAGACAGUGGCGUCAUUUUUCUUCAGAG
rnacentral:lncRNA from 1 species